rnacentral:rRNA from 1 species
GAUGAACGCUAGCUAUAGGCUUAACACAUGCAAGUCGAGGGGAAACGGCAUUAUGUGCUUGCACAUUUUGGACGUCGACCGGCGCACGGGUGAGUAUCGCGUAUCCAACCUGCCCUUUACUUGGGGAUACCCCGUUGAAAGACGGCCUAAUACCCGAUGUAAUUCAUUGAUGGCAUCAGAUAUGAAUAAAAGAUUUAUCGGUAAAGGAUGGGGAUGCGUCUGAUUAGCUUGUUGGUGAGGUAACGGCUCACCAAGGCGACGAUCAGUAGGGGUUCUGAGAGGAAGGUCCCCCACAUUGGAACUGAGACACGGUCCAAACUCCUACGGGAGGCAGCAGUGAGGAAUAUUGAUCAAUGGGCGCAAGCCUGAACCAGCCAAGUAGCGUGCAGGAAGACGGCCCUAUGGGUUGUAAACUGCUUUUAUACGAGAAUAAUUUGAUGCACGUGUGCGUUAUUGCAUGUAUCGUAUGAAUAAGGACCGGCUAAUUCCGUG